GUUUCAGUGAGCCGAGAUUGCGCCACUGCACUCCAGCGUGGCGACAGAGUGAGACUCUAUCUCAAAAAAUAAAAAUAAAAAGAUACCAACCACAUUAGAUUGGGGCUCACCCUAGUGACCUUUGACGUAAUUACCUCUUUAAAGGCUGUAUCUCCAAACCAGUCACGUUUGCGGUACUGGGAGUUAAGACAUACAUUUUAGGCUGGUGUUGAGGAUGCACAAUUCAGUCCCUAACACACACUACCAACCAGCUCUUUGGAGAAGGGCAGGAUGCUCAGGCUGGUGGUGGGAACUUCCGUGGACUUCCUUUGACACUGAGUGCAUGUAGGUUAGGUCAGAUUGACACACACAGCCCUUCCAUGAGGCAGGAUGGAUGGAGAGUGGCCAGGUAUUGUGAGUAGUGUUGGAGCUUCUAAGGAGUUGGCUAGGGAGAAACUAAAAAAAAAAAAAUUAUAUUGGAAAUCUUGUGUCAUAAAAAAUUUCACUGAAUAUCUGCCUGGAACAAGGCUAGGAGUCACUCCCUCUCUGCCUCCACUGCAAAUAACUGGUCCAGGAAUCAAAUAAAUAAUUGAAAAAGAGUCUUUACAGAGAUGCUGAAAGAAAAUACAAAUUAGAAAAACAGAAGAUAAAAUAAUGGUGGAGGAAAAAAGUUUUACUAGAGGACCGGCUGGAGAAGAAAUGGAACAGAAAUGAAGGGUUGAAGAGGAUUAAAGAGAGAAGAGCAGGCAAUCAAAAAUGCAUGUCGCUGGGCCCAAAAAUGGAAACAAUGGAUACUGGGGAUUCCCAAAGGGGAGAGGGAGGAAACAGCUACCUAUCGGGUACUGUGUUCCCUGCUUGGGCGAUAGGAGUAUUAGAAGCCCAAACCUCAGUGUCACGCAAUAUACCUAUUUAAUCAACCUGCACAUGGACCCCCCGAAUCUUAAAAAGAAUUCUAAAUAAAUAAGAUAUACAUUGUUGGAAUCUCUGAGUAAAAUCAUCAAAAUAAUGGGUCAGAAAACCUUUGAACAAUACAUUUGCAGAUGAUUUUCCAGAGAAAUAGGAGGUUUGAACCUACAAAAUGAAUGCACCAAACAUAUAUUGGGAGAAAUUAACAGACAAUAAUUGCAGUUGAGAAAUAUAGCCUAGUAAGGUUACUAAAUUCUCAAGCCAAAGUUAUUUGCUUAAGCAUACAGGUGAAAUACAAGUUAUCUAUAAGCCAGAAAGAAUAAUUUCAUCUUAUAGUUAGCAAUAGCAAUAGUCAGGACCCAAAAGAAAAUGGAACAAUCUCUAUGAAGUCCUCAAAAAAAAAAAAAAGUAAGACUGAGGUUUAGGCCAAAGCAAGCAUAAUGAUUGUCAGAUAUAAAGACAACAGAUAGGCUGUUUUUGAACAUGUAAAAAAAAAAAAAAAAAAAAAUCAGUGAACAUAGUUUCCAUGGUGUUUGAUUAAAUUUUGGGGUAAAUUCCUGCGUAUAAUAAAUUUAAUAAAAACUGGUAGUGGAUACAAUUAAAUAUAGGAGGAAAUACUAAAACAGCUGCAAGAAUCAUUGUUACAAAAAAUAACGUAAAAGUCAUAAACCCUGACAAUAUAAAAAUUAUGUAUCUUUUAGAGGCUAGACUUGGGAGGAAGAAGGAGGAGCAAUGCUGGGAGACUCUGUAAGUCUUUGGAUUUAUAAAGCCGAGACUCAAAGAUAUAAUUUAAAACACAUACGUCAGGCAGUGUAUAUAUUAGGAUACUUAAUAUAAACAUUAAGAAAAUAGUAUAAUCCAUAAAGUUGAGGGGGAAGGAAAAUGUUACUUAAAUUCUUGCUUAUAGUAGAGAAACUGAAGAGAAAGGAGGAUUAGAAUACUGUAUGAAAUUAUAAAAUUAUAGUUGUAAAUGUAACUAUGAGAACAAAAUGAACCUAAAUUCUCAGAGGAAAUGCAGAUUAGUCAAAGACCAUAUAGUCGAUAAAUAUAUAUAUAUGUAUAUGUGUAUAUAAAUAUAUAUGUGUAUAUAUAUACACACACACACAUGCCCAUACAUAUAUUUAUAUCAGAGAACAUAUAACCUAUGAUAGAACUGAGAGCAAACAUUGUGCAUCAAUUAAUAAGUGGAGAUAAUUGUAAUCAGACCAAACGUCCUGUUAAACAAAAGCACUCACCAAUGGACUCACAAUGUAAAAUCUAACCUGUGCCAUAUCUGAGAGAUAUCAGAUCCUUCUGAUGGCUAUGUGAAGGCUAGAUUUGAAAGAGCAAGUAUGCAAAUAGAAGACCAGUCAAAAAGGUACCAGUUUUUCACAAGAAAGACAAUGGAGUCCUGACCUGAGAUAGAGAGUAAAUUUAAAGAAUUUGUUACUACUGCGUAUGGUAUGGAGACAGAGGUAGAGUGACUUUUAGGUUUCUUAUGGGUGCACCAUCAACUGAGACAGAUCAUAUCAGGGGAAAAGUGAUGCAGGAUUUUUUGCUGCUUAGUUUGCUAAAAUCUGGGUUCUUGUCUCAUGACCAGGAAAAAUUAGGCACAUGAACACACUAAAGGUGAGGAGGGCGGAUUUAUUAAGUAAAAAGAAAGAGGGGUUCCUGCCAACAGGCUCUCAGCUCACACUGAAAACCAGGCCACCACACACAAGCCAGAGAGGCCAGGCUCCUCCCACUGCAUAAGGCAUGAAUUCUUGGUGACUCCACCCCAGUCACCCAGUGCAUAGGGGCCUCCAGUCCAGUGUGAGUAUGCCCAGGCGAGACCCUAUGCAGGUUCCUUAUCUGCAGAAAAACAUCUGGCGUAAACACUUGUGGGACCAGUCGAAGAUUAUCUGGGGAAACUUCCUUAUCUGCCUAGGCAUUUGUCUGCCUCCUACAUCUAUCAAAAGAUUUUAAAAGAGAAAUAUGGUACAUUUUAUCUUGUACCUCUAUUAAGUUGCUUGGGUCUAUGGGGCUGUCUUUGUAGGUUUGCUGGAUGUUUAGUGUCUACCUUUAUCUAAAUUUUGAUGUGCAGGUAUAGGAGGAAGAUACUAAUUUGAAAGUUUGCCCAGCAGAGGGAGUAAGAUAAGGUUCACGUUUUAUCUCUGAAAUACAUGCUAAACAUUAAAAUGAAAUUUGGGGCUAUUCCUAGAGUUCAACAUAGAAGGAGGUUAAUGUUAUAAUGGAAAUGAUAAAUGGGGAGGAAAAAUAACCCAUUCUUCUCCUUCACUUAGAAAAAUUGAAUUUCUUUGAUUGACUGCUGUAUGUUGGAACACACACUAAUUUUUACGUAUGCUAAUAAGUUAAGGAUUGUCUAAUGCUUUUGCUAAUCUAAUUCUUGCAGAAAGCUCUUAUUUUUCUUAGUUUAUAAUAGAAAAUCUGCCAGGCACAGCACUCCAAAUUACUGCAAUAACAGCUGUAAAUACAUGAAAUGCACUUAUUUUUACUGCAUGGGUUUACUUAAUGUUAAUAGCUCAAUUUAUCUAAUUUAUUUCUUGUCAGAUUCAUAUUUUUAAAUGAUUUUGUAAUUGUACUUAACACUGAAGCCAUUGUAAUGCUUAUUACUGAUAAAGUCGAGUUGGGUGAAGUAUAUCAUCAAAAUACUGAGUGAACUUCUGACUUUUUCUAUUCAUGAAAAAAAGAAUCUACUUCAUUACAGCAGUGAGUCUCCAACAAGAACAUUCCAAACAAGUAAUCUAACAUUUCAAGUCGUUCAAAUCAUUUUCCUUUUGGCUUCAUAACUUAAAACCCUACUUGAGACAAGCUACAAUUAUAUAGAAAAGCACAACUUGUCAAAUCUCAUAGCUUUUAAAGUCCCAAUCAAUUGAUAUGAAGCAUACUCUAUGAAAGUUUUUGCCAAAAUGAUAUUUGUUAUUCAGUGAUGGCACUCCAAAGAAAUCUUUUUUUUUCCUCUCUGUCAGACAGAAGAGAAUAGUAACGAAAAAGAGAAUGCUGGAGAGAGGCGAUGUGCAGAGAAAGGCAGGGGGGGAAGCAAAAAAAAAAAAAAGA